AUCCUUAACCCACUGAGCAAGGUCAGGGAUCAAACCUGCAUCCUCAUAGAUACUAGUUGGGUUCUUAACCGGCCGAGCCACAAUGGGAACUUCACCUAUUCUUAUCACUGAUUGCUUAUUGAUUAUUUCUGUCAACAAAUCGAAUAAGUACUAUUCAGAAAAGUGUCUAAUUCUGAUCCUGAUUCAAAAUCAGUUAUGUAGUUACAUUAUGCACAAUUCUAAUGGGAUUUGAUGAUUUGAUUAGUUCACAGACCGUAAAUAGUGGGAGAGAAGUAAGGGGUGAAAACGUGUCUAGAGAGAAACAUGAAAUUCAGUAGCAAAGAAUUAGAGCUGGAGAAAAGACAAAUAACCAGAAUAAGAGGUAUUUCCCAAACAGCUUGUCACUUCGAGUCUCUUACUUUGGAGGGUUUAGUAGUAUGUACUUCUAUUUGUCUUGAAGCCUGCAUCAUAUUACAAUAAGGUUUAAAAAUCCGUGUUCGAAGCUGAGCAUUAACACCCAUCUCAUUUUGUUCCAUCAGCCCUGUUGAAGACAGCAGGUUGAGAAGAGUGGGAUAAAGUGUGGAGACAAUACACCCGUGAUUGAAGAUAGAAGAAAGGAAAAGCUAUAGCAGUUUCCCUGUCAGUCUGAACUCCAAGGUGGGCUCUUGGGCCGGUUAACUUCAGGAGCCACCUGCCCUAAAUGCUAUGGUUUUCCUAGAGCAACACCUAGGUGUUGAGUGACUGGGAAUGGUGUUGAGUCCUGCCUCAAGGAUGUCACGGGGUGAAGAUAAAAGCUACUUGCAGUAGAGCUGAGAGCCAAGUUCCUUUCAAGGCGUUAUCAACAUAGGACUGGGAGAGUACAGACAGAAGGCCCAUGUGAAGAGGAAGUCACAUUGCAUUAGAGAACCAACAGGAAAGUUGUCUUAAACUUGCAAAAAAAAAAAAAAAAAAAAGAGCAAAACCAAACUCUCAGUUUUUCU